GACGAACGCUGGCGGCGUGCUUAACACAUGCAAGUCGAACGAAGUGGCGAACGGGUGAGUAAUACGUGGGUAACCUGCCCUCCUUUUUGGGAUAAGCCUUGGAAACGGGGUCUAAUACCGAAUAAAGGGGGAUGGGUUCGCGGCCUAUCAGUUUGUUGGUGGGGUGAUGGCCUACCAAGGCGGUGACGGGUAGCCGGCCUGAGAGGGUGACCGGGCACAUGGGAAGGGAGAGACGGCCCAGAGACCUACGGGAGGGAGCAGUGGGGGAUAUUGCACAAUGGGCGAAAGGCUGAUGCAGCGACGCCGCGUGGGGGAUGAAGGCUUUCGGGUUGUAAACCUCUGUCGCUAUCGAACGGGUAGCUGGAUAAGAAGCGCCGGCUAACUACGUGCCAGCAGCCGCGGUAAUAC
rnacentral:rRNA from 1 species